rnacentral:rRNA from 1 species
CCUGUUUAUCAAAAACAUUGCCCCCAGAAGAACAAAUUGGGGGUAUGUCCUGCCCGGUGAUUUUUCAACGGCCGCGGUAUCUUAACCGUGCAAAGGUAGCAUAAUCAUUUGCCUAUUAAUUGUAGGCUGGAAUGAAUGGAUGAACGAAGUAAAUUCUGUCUCUUUCAUUAAUAUAGAAACUAAUAUUUGAAUGAAGAAGUUCAAAUUAUAUUAAAGGACAAGAAGACCCUGUAGAGCUUAUGUUUUAAUUAAAAGCUUUAAUAAAAAAUUUGGUUGGGGCGACCUAGGAAUUUAUUUAUCAUCCUAAUUAGAUAGAUUUAUAGAUCAAAAUAGAGAUCCUUGAAAAAGAUCAAAAGACAAGCUACCUCAGGGAUAACAGGCUAAUUUUUCUUUAGAGCUCUUAUCAAAAGAAAAGGUUGGCACCUCGAUGUUGGCUUAGGGAAUCUAUAUAACGCAAAAGUUAUAAGAGAGGGUUUGUUCAACCCAUAAAUCCCUACGUGAUCUGAGUUCA